rnacentral:rRNA from 1 species
CGGUUGAUCCUGCCGGAGGCCGCUGCUAUCUGGCUGGGACUAAGCCAUGCUAGUCUAGGGGUCAAUUCUCCCUCGGGAGGAUUGGCACCGGCGGACGGCUCAGUAACACGUGGAUAACCUACCCUCGGGUGGGGGAUAACCCCGGGAAACUGGGGCUAAUACCCCAUAGGCCAUGGAGAUUGGAAUGUCCCAUGGCUGAAAGCUCCGGCGCCCGAGGAUGGGUCUGCGGCGGAUUAGGUAGUUGGUGGGGUAACGGCCCACCAAGCCUAAGAUCCGUACGGGCUGUGAGAGCAGGAGCCCGGAGAUGGACACUGAGACAAGGGUCCAGGCCCUACGGGGCGCAGCAGGCGCGAAACCUCCGCAAUGCGGGAAACCGCGACGGGGCUAGCCAGAGUGCCCGUGCAUAGCGCGGGCUGUCCGGGUGCCUAAAAAGCACCCGAUAGCAAGGGAUGGGCAAGGCCGGUGGCAGCCGCCGCGGUAAUACCGGCGUCCCGAGUGGCGGCCACUAUUAUUGGGCCUAAAGCGUUCGUAGCCGGCCCAGUAAGUCCCCCGGGAAAUCUGGUCGCUCAACGAUCAGACUUCCGGGGGAUACUGCUGGGCUAGGGACCGGGAGAGGCCGAGGGUAUUCCCGGGGUAGGGGUGAAAU